UACGGAGGGGGCGAGCGUUAUUCGGAAUUAUUGGGCGUAAAGAGCUCGUAGGCGGUUUGUCGCGUCGAAUGUGAAAACCCGGGGCUCAACCCCGGGCCUGCAUUCGAUACGGGCAGACUAGAGUUCGGUAGGGGGAGUCUGGAAUUCCUGGUGUAGCGGUGAAAUGGCGCAGAUAUCAGGAGGAACACCGGUGGCGAAGGCGGGACUCUGGGCCGAUACUGACGCUGGAGGAGCGAAAGCGUGGGGAGCAAACAGG
rnacentral:rRNA from 1 species